rnacentral:ncRNA from 12 species
CGCCAUGCUGGACGCGACUACGAGAGGCACCAGCAGCAUGGGGACAGCCUAACUGGGGGGAAAGUGGUUGAGACUAGGCAUCGGGUGGCGAAGGUAGCGCCCGUAUCACGCACGGCUGCCGGGC